UUUGAUUCCAUUGAUUAAAUAUCCAAAUGAAUCCAAGUGCCCUCUUUGUAAAAAGCACAGAGACUACAGCAUCCUGCUGCCUGCCUUCAGAGUCAUGAAGACCACCGUGUCAAGUAUGCAGGUUUCCAAAGGACCAUUUUGUGGUGUCUCUGUAUUUCAUCCUCGAGGCCCCCUUCAAUUUUAAUGAGCAUACUGUCCAUAGUGGUUUUGAAGUUCCAGAAACGCCUACCUUUCAAAAUCUAGAUAUUUUAAAUGUAUGUUUAUAAUGGUUUGCAUAAAUAUUUUUGUAACAUUAAACUCCUUUUAACAAUGUGACUCUGCUCAGUUCUCUUUAGAAUGACAUGCCAGUUUUGAGGAAGUGCUGGUGUAGAAUGUUACUUGAGAACUUCAGCACCAAGGGCACUGCGUUCUGCAGGUUUCAGGUCUUUUCUUUUAGAAGAAACGUCAGCCACCCUUCAACAUCCAGCACAGGGCACUGAU